AUAAAAAUCAUAAAACCGUAUCUUUGCUUUACAUAAUCUAUUCUUGAGAUGUUUUAAAUUCCGUGGCAAAAAUAAUUUUCCACGUAUCAACUCAAUAGAAGAAUAUAUAACACUUGACUUGUUAAAACGUUAAAUCUAUCUAAAAGUUCAACUGUUCAUUGCUACACGCCGUUAGCCAGUAGAAGAUAAAUCAAACGAAGUUACAAUUCCAAACAAGAACAAUAUGCUUACCAAAAACAAAUCACUGCCAUCUUAAACAAGUAAGUCCACAUUUUAAAUGGAGCUAAAGAAUUUUGCUUAUCUUUGUGACGUUGCAAUUGUCUAUCGUCGAUGCUAAGUUGACGUUAAUGUCGAUACGUGGAAAUUCAACCCAUUAAAUAAUACAAGUUAGGCAACCUGGAAAUUACGACUAAGCUAUAGAGUCUCACGAAAAAGUUAUGGAAAUUCAAGAACAAUCGUCAGGUCAAAAUCACGUUGAUGAUGCUCAGUCUUUGAACA